rnacentral:rRNA from 1 species
UACGUAGGGCGCAAGCGUUGUCCGGAAUUAUUGGGCGUAAAGAGCUCGUAGGUGGCUUGUUGCGUCUGCCGUGAAAGCCCGUGGCUUAACUACGGGUCUGCGGUGGAUACGGGCAGGCUAGAGGCUGGUAGGGGCAAGCGGAAUUCCUGGUGUAGCGGUGAAAUGCGCAGAUAUCGGGAGGAACACCAGUAGCGAAGGCGGCACUCUGGGCCGGUACUGACGCUGAGGAGCGAAAGCGUGGGGAGCGAACAGG